GGAGGUGCCGGCUUGGCCAGCGCCGCCGUUGCCGCCGGCGCCCCCAUUCCCGCCGUCGCCGGCGGUGCCGUUCGCGCCGGCGGCGCCGCCG
rnacentral:tRNA from 1 species